AAACUGAAACCCUAAUCUCUGGUUGCUGAAUGGACGAACGGAAUCAAACCAACGAUGACGACGACGAAUUCUUUGAUACGCUCGACGAUUUUCCCUCUUACGACUGCAUUUCCACCGACCAAUCAGAUCAAUCCACGUCAGAAUACAAAGAGACCACCUCCACUCUACGACGCCGUUCUAUCCCCAACCGCCGAACUGAUAUUAAUAACUCCGGAGAGAAAAGGUACAAACUUUCUCGAAAUCAGAGAGAAAAAGAAACUAAUUUGAUAAAAUCUGAGCCCAUCAUGAAGGACCGAGAUGUCUCAGUCCAUCUCGGAAGUGGUGAAAAAGUGUUUGGUGGAUAAUUACCCUAUUUUUUAAUAACAUUAUUCAAACUUUUUAGAUUAAACCAAAAGUUAAAAAAAUUAGCUUAAUAACUUAAUGACUAAAAUUUUUUAUUAAGUUGAAAAAACCAAAUAGACUUGGUGCAUAUUUGGUAUGGCUUAUCUAAUGGCUAUAAGUAUUUAUUUAAUCUAUAAGUUGUUUUCAAAUUUUUUUUAUUAUCGUUUGAUUGUUUUUUAGUAGAGGUUUUGAAGAUUAAAUUACUUAUUCUGCUUCUACUAGUAAAAGUUCAAAUUUUAAACUUUGAGGAGUAAAUGUUGAAAAGCUUUUUUAAAAUGUUAAAAUGUUUAAAAUAUCAGUUAUUUAUUCCAUAAUCUUAUUUCAUUUUUUUUUCUAAUGUUACUUUAGAUAACUUGCCUAUUAAGAUAAUUUUAUGAUUUUUAAUAAAAAUUUUCAUUGACAACCAAAUAACUAAAAUUUUUUUAGUAAAAACUUUAAUUAUGAAAACUCUAUUUAAAUAAUCUUUAUUUGAAGAGUUAUACCAAAUAGAAUUUUAAUACUUUAACUGAUUGAAUUAAGUUAAUUAAAUAAAAAAAACGACCCCUAAGUUACAAACAAUUACUAAUGAUAAAAGUUUAAUAUUGCGAAGGCUAUUUAAAAAAAGAAAAUAAAAGAAAAGAAAAAGUUUAAUGUGCAAGAAAGAAUAUAUGACAUUUUGAGCGAAUAAGAAAAAAAUUGUAUUAUUGAGAAAUGGUUAAAAUUAGGGAUACAAAUGUUAUUAACCGAACCCCCCCAAAAAAAGGGGGAUGACGUGGAAGGUGCAAACAUGGUGAAUGGCAAGUAAAUUCGAUGCUGAUAAGCGAUAACCGGAAACUGAAACCCUAAUCUCUGGUUGCUGAAUGGACGAACGGAAUCAAACCAACGAUGACGACGACGAAUUCUUUGAUACGCUCGACGAUUUUCCCUCUUACGACUGCAUUUCCACCGACCAAUCAGAUCAAUCCACGUCAGAAUACAAAGAGACCACCUCCACUCUACGACGCCGUUCUAUCCCCAACCGCCGAACUGAUAUUAAUAACUCCGGAGAGAAAAGGUACAAACUUUCUCGAAAUCAGAGAGAAAAAGAAACUAAUUUGAUAAAAUCUGAGCCCAUCAUGAAGGACCGAGAUGUCUCAGUCCAUCUCGGAAGUGGUGUUAGCGAAGAGAAGGAGGAGGAGUCGACGGUGACUACUGAGAAUGAAGAACGAGUUGUUGACUCGCUUGUUUCCGAGGCUGAGUCGCCACAACCGUCGAGUUUGCUUGAUUGGACUGUUGGAUUGGUGAUUAAAGCAAUUGGUUUUCAAGUUAAUUUGCUAAUUGGCUUCAUCUUGCUUCCUUUUAACGUUAUUUAUUACUCUUUUAUGUUAAUUACGAACCCGUUUGGUACUGUGAAUCGUGGAAAGGAUUAUUUAUUACAAAAAUUGUAUAAUUUCUGGAAUUUAAUUUGGGGGUUUGUUAGUCCUCUGAUUCAUGAUUGGUUUAAAGGGCACGAAUCAAUAUGGAAGUUCGUUUCGCGUUUUGGUUGGGGCUUGUUUUGGGCGAUUUUUGUGUGUUCCAUAUUGUGUGGGUUAUUGCUUUUUUCAAUUCUUACAAGUGGGAUUUUGAUGAGGUUCUUGGUUGAGAAACCAAUUCAAAUAAGGGAAACAUUGAAUUUUGAUUACACAAAGAAUAGACCGGUUGCCUUUGUGCCUAUAAUGUCAUGUGAUUGCGCUUUCUCUGGUGUCAAUUGUAAAGAGAAGAAAGAACUUCCUUGGGGUUUAGGCCCGCGGGUUAUACCAAUUGGUCAUAAACUACAGGUUACUGUGAAGUU
rnacentral:lncRNA from 1 species